rnacentral:lncRNA from 1 species
CAUACUUUUAAUACAUUAAUUAUUACAUGUAUGAUCAUAAAAAUUACACAGUAAUUGAACAAUUGAAAUUAUUCUAAUACAUAACUGCUCUUUUAAUUUGAAUCUAUAAACAUGGAAAUGAUGGUGACAAAAUGUAUAACAUGAUCUUCAUGAAAAUAUAAAAUAUGCUUACAUACAAGUUUUUACUAUGCCUCUAUCUGUUACAAAAGUCUAUAUGCUAAAAUCAAUAGAAAUGAUAUGAUGGGGGGAUGAUAAUUAUCCAUCAGAGUCCAAAUGAUAAAUCAGAAAAAAAGGAAACAAAGUCCACAACAGCAGAAACCAUUUGUAGUAAGUUUAAGGUAUGUAAAAUAAUGGGAGUUACUUCUAAAACUAACUCAAAUUU